rnacentral:rRNA from 1 species
UACGGGGGGAGCAAGCGUUGUUCGGAUUUACUGGGCGUAAAGGGCGCGUAGGCGGUCAGUGCACGUCAGUUGUGAAAUCUCCGGGCUUAACUCGGAAAGGUCAACUGAUACUGCUCGACUAGAGUGCGGAAGGGGCAACUGGAAUUCUUGGUGUAGCGGUGAAAUGCGUAGAUAUCAAGAGGAACACCUGCGGCGAAGGCGGGUUGCUGGGCCGACACUGACGCUGAUGCGCGAAAGCCAGGGGAGCGAACGGG